rnacentral:tmRNA from 2 species
GGGGGCGAACUGGAUUCGACGUGGGUCGCGAAACUUCGAGUGCAUGCCGAGGAACAGAUCACCUCGUUAAACCAACUGUAAAACUUAUAGUUGCCAACGACGACAACUACGCGCUAGCUGCCUAAAAAACUGCCUAGCGCCCUCUGCCCGGCUCGUGCUUGUGCGGCUGGAACCCAGGGGUCACCGACACAAGACCGCAGUGAAAACACGUUCAGGGUUUGACCUGUUAAAUACUUACUGAACUGGUUGCAGGUCUUCCCUGUCCGUUGGGUAGCCGGUAAUGAGAAUAAAAACGGAAUAAGCAUGUAGACCUCGUAGCGGAGGGCUUGCGGACGCGGGUUCGAUACCCGCCGCCUCCACCA